rnacentral:rRNA from 1 species
UGCAGUCGAACGAGUCUCUGGGGGGUAACUCCUAGAGGAAAGUGGCGAAAGGGGCAGUAAUGUAUGGGUAACCUACCUUGAGGUCUGGGAUAGCUAUUCUAACGGAUAGGUAAUACUGGACGGCCUAAGUUGUCGGCAUCGACGAUUUAGUAAAGGUUACGCCUCGAGAGGGGCCCAUAUGAUAUUAGCUAGUUGGUGGGGUAAUGGCCCACCAAGGCAAAGAUGUCUAGCGGGUGUGAGAGCACGACCCGCGUCAUUGGCACUGAGACACUGGCCAAACUCCUACGGGAGGCUGCAGUCGAGGAUCUUCGGCAAUGGACGAAAGUCUGACCGAGCAACGCCGCGUGUGCGAUGAAGGCCUUCGGGUUGUAAAGCACUGUCGAGGGGAAACAAGCCGUAAGGUUGAGUGACCCCUGGAGGAAGCACGGGCUAAGUUCGUGCCAGCAGCCGCGGUAAGACGAACCGUGCAAACGUUAUUCGGAAUCACUGGGCUUAAAGGGCGCGUAGGCGGGUGAUCAAGUCAAUGGUGAAAUCCUCCAGCUUAACUGGAGAAGUGCCUUUGAUACUGAUUGUCUAGAGGGAGGUAGGGGCAUGUGGAACUUCAGGUGGAGCGGUGAAAUGCGUAGAUAUCUGAAGGAACGCCAGUGGCGAAAGCGAUGUGCUGGACCUCUUCUGACGCUGAGGCGCGAAAGCUAGGGGAUCAAACGGGAUUAGAUACCCCGGUAGUCCUAGCCCUAAACUAUGGGUACUAGAUUGUGGACUUUCAUGGGUUCACAGUCGAAGCAAAAGUGUUAAGUACCCCGCCUGGGGAGUAUGGUCGCAAGGCUGAAACUCAAAGGAAUUGACGGGGGCUCACAC